GUCUUUGUGAUGUAAUGGUUUGAGUGUUGGACUAUGACUCUGGAGACCAGGGUUCAAAUCCCUGCUUGGCCA